UACGGAGGAUGCGAGCGUUAUCCGGAUUUAUUGGGUUUAAAGGGUGCGUAGGCGGGCUUUUAAGUCAGCGGUAAAAAUUCGGGGCUCAACCCCGUCCGGCCGUUGAAACUGGGGGCCUUGAGUGGGCGAGAAGAAGGCGGAAUGCGUGGUGUAGCGGUGAAAUGCAUAGAUAUCACGCAGAACCCCGAUUGCGAAGGCAGCUUUCCGGCGCCCUACUGACGCUGAGGCACGAAAGUGCGGGGAUCGAACAGG
rnacentral:rRNA from 1 species